CGGGGAGUAGUAUAAUGGUAGUACGCCUGCUUUGGGAGCAGGUGGUCCGAGUUCGAUUCUCGGCUCCCCGA
rfam:Candidatus Giovannonibacteria bacterium RIFCSPHIGHO2_12_FTLL_43_15 rifcsphigho2_12_scaffold_371, whole genome shotgun sequence.